rfam:Aedes aegypti strain Liverpool supercont1.144 genomic scaffold, whole genome shotgun sequence.
UCCACAGCAACUCUUAUUCCUACCUACUCGCGGUACUGGCCGAAAUGCGAGCAACCUUAGGGAAGAUCUGGUAACCAACCCCGGUGGGAACUUUGGUCGUUUACUGACAGGGAAGG